rnacentral:rRNA from 1 species
ACUCCAGUCGAUGCUGCUGGAGGAUACUGCUAUCAGAUUUCGACAGCCAUGCAAGUCAGCUCAGCCACUUGGUUGGGCGGCACACGGCUCAGUAACGCGUGGUCAAUCUACCGUAAAGAAGGGAAUACCCUCGGGAAACUGAGGCUAAUGCCAUAUAGGUUAGGAAUUCUGGAAUGAGUCCUAAUCGAAAGGGUAGUGAAUUGGAGCUUUACCGCUUUACGAUGAGACUGCGUCGGAUCAGGCAGAUGGCGGGGUAACGGCCCACCAUACCUUUGACCCGUAGGGGAUAUGAGAGUAAGAGCC